AGAGUUUUUGUUGAUAGACAGACAUUUUUUUAGAAUAUUUGAUCAAUAGGUUCUUUUUUAAAAUAAUUUUUUAAAAAACUGCUAUUUUGGAAAAGUUAUCAUUUUUGUAGACAAAUAUUGUAGAUUUGGUAUUUUGAUUUAGAAAUUAGUAUUCCAAGAGUUUUUGUUGAUAGAUAAGCAUUUUUUUAGAAUUUUUUAUCAUUAGGUUGUAUUUUUUAAAUAAAUUUUCUAAAAACUGCUAUUUGAGGAAACUUAUCAUUUUUGUAGAGAAAUAUUGUAGAUUUGGUAUUUUGAUUUAGAAACUAGGAUUACAAGUGUUUUUUUUAAUAUAUGAGCAUUUUUUAGAAUUUUUUAUCAUUAGAAUGUAUUUUUUAAAUAAAUUUUCUAAAAACUGCUAUUUUAGGAAAGUUAUCCUUUUUGUAGAGAAAUAAUGUAGAUUUGAGAUUGUAAUUUAGAAAGUAGAUAACAAGAGUUUUUGUUGAUAGAUAGACAUUCUUUUAGAAUAUUUGAUCAAUAGGUUCUUUAUUAAAAUUAGUUUUCAAAAACUGCUAUUUUGGAAAAGUUACCAUUUUUGUAGACAAAUAUUGUAGAUUUGCUAUCUUGAUUUAGAAACUAGGAUUACAAGAGUUUUUGUUGAUAGAUGAGCAUUCUUUUAGAAUAUUUGAUUAAUAAAUUUUUGUUGAUAGAUGAGUAUUCUUUUAGAAUAUUUGAUUAAUAAACUAGGAUUACAAAAGUUUUUGUUGAUAGAUGAGUAUUUUUUAAAUCAAUUUUCUAAAAAUUGUUAUUUUAAGAAAGUUAUCAUUUUUGUAGAGAAAUAUUGUAGAUUUGGUAUCUUGAUUUAGAAACUAUGAUUACAAGAAUUUUUGUUGAUAGAUGAUCAUUCUUUUAGGAUAUUUGAUCAAUAGGUUCUUUUUUAAAAUUAGUUUUCUAAAAACUGCUAUUUUAGGAAAGUUAUCAUUUUUGUAGAGAAAUAUUGUAGAUUUGGUAUCUUGAUUUAGAAACUAUGAUUACAAGAAUUUUUGUUGAUAGAUGAUCAUUCUUUUAGGAUAUUUGAUC
rnacentral:lncRNA from 1 species